rnacentral:rRNA from 1 species
CAGCCCUUGACAUCCCGGUCGCGGACUCCAGAGACGGAGUUCUUCAGUUCGGCUGGACCGGAGACAGGUGCUGCAUGGCUGUCGUCAGCUCGUGUCGUGAGAUGUUGGGUUAAGUCCCGCAACGAGCGCAACCCCCGUCUUUAGUUGCUACCAUUCAGUUGAGCACUCUAAAGAGACUGCCGGUGAUAAGCCGCGAGGAAGGUGGGGAUGACGUCAAGUCCUCAUGGCCCUUACGGGCUGGGCUACACACGUGCUACAAUGGCGGUGACAAUGGGAUGCUAAGGCGCGAGCCGGAGCAAAUCUCAAAAAGCCGUCUCAGUUCGGAUUGGGCUCUGCAACUCGAGCCCAUGAAGUUGGAAUCGCUAGUAAUCGUGGAUCAGCACGCCACGGUGAAUA